CAGCUGUCCCCAGGGUGGCCGGGUCAGCGAGCGAGACAUCAACCCCGGCAGAGCUGCGGCAUCACAAGUGCGUGGGCGCAUGCGCUGUGGUCCUCACGCAGACAGGCUCGCUUCCAUUUCCUGGGUGGCCUGAGACCUGGCCGUCCACCCGGGGCGAUCCUUGCGUCUCUUGGCUAGGAAGCAGAGGAGGACGUGCUGGGAGAUGGGGCCAUGCGGGACGCAUGCUUUGUCACAGCGAACUCUGUUCUAACAGACCCCACGAGCAGAGAUUGGGAGUCAGGGUGGAUUUCUCUGAAAUGGUAAUAACAGAAAGGAGGAAGUCUGUUCCACAAGAAGAGAAAUACGAAAGCAAAGGUCUGGGGUGAGAAAAGUCAUGGUGAACUCACAACCCUUGGAGGGAAGUCAGUGCUGUCAUGGGAACGAGGGAUUUGAACUAGGGAGUUCUGGGUUAUUGGAAAAGGAAACAGAAGAGCUGAAGUGGGAAGGUGGAAAAGUUAAUGACAUGAUGACCCAGACUGUACCCAGGACUUGAGCUACCACAAUUCCGAGAAUUGACGGCAAAGAAAUGGGAACAAAUGCGCCCCGGAACUGAAGAUUAACUGUACCUAAAACAACCAAGAUGAUGCUAGUCAGACUACUGAUGAUAAUUGGAAGAUGAGUGUACUGUUUCUGCAUGUAACUCCCCACACACACACUUUGUCUAUAAAAACUCUCACCC
ensembl:lncRNA